rnacentral:rRNA from 1 species
AGCUCCAGUAGCGUAUAUUAAAGUUGUUGCAGUUAAAAAGCUCGUAGUUGGAUUUCUGCUUGUAGCGUUGGGCCCGCUCGGGUUACCGAUGUGUGUGCCUGUUCGCUCCUUGCAUCCUUCUAGAAAACGGUUCUCUCCUUCAUUGGUUGUGGGAUCGCAAUCUAGAUCUUUUACUUUGAAAAAAUUAGAGUGUUUAAAGCAGGCUUGUGCUAUGAAUACAUUAGCAUGGAAUAAUAAUUUAGGACUUUAGUUCUAUUUUGUUGGUUUCUAGAACUGAAGUAAUGAUUGAUAGGGAUAGUUGGGGGUGCUAGUAUUCAGCGGCCAGAGGUGAAAUUCUUAGAUUCGCUGAAGACUAACUUAUGCGAAAGCAUUCACCAAGGAUGUCUUCUUUA